rnacentral:ncRNA from 1 species
CCUUAUCAAGAGCGGCUGAGGGAAUAGGCCCUGCGAUGCCCGGCAACCUGUGUACGCGUCUGAAGCGCCAAAAGGUGCCACGUCCUACAGAAGGUUUUUGGUGACCUUUCUGAAAGAUGAGG